UUGUAAUUUCAAAUGGAUCACCCUGUAUAUUUUUCGGUUUUCGAAAUCCUUAAGAAAUACUUAUUAUUUUUCAACCGAUGUUCUCAAUAAUUUCGGAUUUAUAGCUACAUUUGCGUUAUCUCUGCCGAAGUUAAAAUAAUACAUUUAGUUUAUUGGAAAUCACAAUGGAUUGUUUAUCUGAAAAUGAACGAAUAUUUUAAUGAUAUUAGGAUAUGGUGAUAGGCGUAGAAGUCAACAAUAAACGUGUAAUAUCUUCUAUAAUUUAUAUCCUAACCGAAAUCCCAAACAAGAUCUACUGUCAGUAAAUUAAUAAAAAAGUUUAACGAAACUGUUUAGUAAAAAAUUUAUCCAAAUCAUGGUGCAGAAAAACUGCAUCAACUGAAAACAAAUCUUUAUAUGUUUGUGUCCUGUCAGAAGACGAUCUACAUCCAUAGAAAGUAAUGUUGGAUCAAGAGUGUUCAGAUUUUCGAGAUUCGAUUUUCUUAGACAUGAAGAGAUUGUAGACCUAAUGAUGGGAAAAUGUUAUAAUCAAAACGAUCCAAAAAUUUUAAGUAAUGUUAUGUUUUGCGAUGGGGCCACUUUUUGUAUUGAUAGAAACGUAAAUCGGCAUAAUUGUAGAUACUGGUCACGUAACAAUCCUCGUUGGUGCGUGAAUCCCACACCCAAUAUCCCGAAAAACUGAAUGUAUGGGCUGGAAUAAUAAGCAACAAAAUAAUUGGUCCCUUUUUCAUUCAGGGUAACUUAAAUGGUCCAUUUAGAUUUAUUGGGAAAUAAUAUUAUACCUGAGUUGGCAUGUAUAUUUCCAAAUCCAAACAAUGGCAAUAUCCCAAAUGACAAUAUUUUGCUACAAUAAGAUGGUACCCCACCUCACUAUGCGUGUGUGGUGAGGCAAUACUCAAAUAAUGUGAUCUCUAGAAGAUGGAUUGGGAGGAGUGGUUCUAUCGAAUGACCCGCGCGAUCACCCGAUAUGAACCCUUUACACUAUUUCCUAUUGGUUCACAUUGUUUAUAAAACAAAACCUGCUCAUAUUCAGGACUUAAGGCGUUAAUGGACGGCCGACGAAUAUUUUCGUCGACUGCACAACGAAAGUUCGGAAAGAGAUACCGCUCUAAAGUGUAAAUGAGCGUUGUGUAGGUAGCUAAAGACAUGAGACUGAAAUACAGAUGUUCGACUCACUUUUGUUGCGCGCGACUGUCCCUUACACUGUUAUUAAUAAUUACUCACAGAAGUGAGUAAUUUAGAAAUGCUGAAGAUUACUCCUUAAAUAUACUUGAAAUAUCAGGGUGGUGCCUAAACAGACUGGACAGAAAACAAAAAUUAAUAUUUACUUAGUUUAAAAAUAUAUUUCUAAUUAUCUAGGUACAUAUCGUUUCUCAAUAAUAUGUUUAACGUUUAAAAUUUUCUGUUAUACACCUUUUGGUAAAUUUAAUACUAUUAAACAGUUUUUUAUUUCCCAUCGGUGUCUGUUACUGUUAAUAAUAUAAACCCGAUAAAUUGCGAAUAAAAGUGGACGUUGAAUGUUUGUAAAAUCAACGCGAAGGGAAGCGUGGCCGGUUGUUUAGUCUGGAUGCACGAUUUUGGUGGUAAACCACCCUUAGCUGAGCACUUGGGUGAGAACCAAAGCUAUAAUGAUAAGAGAUGAAGUGUUUUACGUAAUAUAAACAAACUCCCCACAUAAAGUGGAGAGAUUUUGACCUUGUAUUAUAAGGGACAGACGUUUAGUGAACUUUGUCUUGAAAACACGUCUUUUCAUUCUCGCAUUUUCACGAAAUUAUCUCACAGUUCAGUGCAGUGCAGUGCA